rnacentral:rRNA from 1 species
AAUGAACGCUGGCGGCAUGCCUAAUACAUGCAAGUCGAACGAACGGACGAGGACCUUUCGUCUCUGGUUUUGUCGGGGGAGGGAUGAGUCACACAUGUAUGGCCUACCUAUAAGACAGGGGUAACUUCGGGAAACCGGAUCUACUACCGAAUAAUAUUUUGCCCCUCAUGGGGCACAAGUGGAAUACGAUAUUUUUUUCGGUUAUAGAUGGAUCCGCGCUGGAUUAGCUAGUUGGUAGGGUAAAAGCUUACCAAGGCGACGAUUCAUAGCUGGCCUGAGAGGAUGAUCAGCCACACUGGGGCUGAGACACGGCCCAGACUCCUACGGGAGGCAGCAGUGGGGAAUAUUGGACAAUGGGCGAAAGCCUGAUCCAGCAAUGCCGCGUGAGUGAUGAAGGCCUUAGGGUUGUAAAGCUCUUUUACCCGGGAUGAUAAUGACAGUACCGGGAGAAUAAGCUCCGGCUAACUCCGUG